rnacentral:lncRNA from 1 species
GAGGGGACCGAGCCCACCCCACCGCCCACCGGAGUGCGGGGGGACGCCCCCGGCCGGAGAUCGGCCCCGGCGCGUGGGGUAUGCGCAGCUAACGGUCCCGUCGGGCGGGCUUUCCUCUGGCGGAGCGCGCAGGCGGUGCGCCCCAGCUAUGGAGUGUCCGGGGAGACGGCGGGCAUGACGGCGGCAGGAUGGGCGCGAACAAUGGCAAACAGUACGGCAGCGAGGGCAAAGGCAGCUCAAGCAUCUCAUCCGACGUGAGCUCAAGUACAGAUCACACGCCGACCCAAGCCCAGAAGAAUGUGGCUACCAGCGAAGGUGAUUGGGUGUAUGUAAAACCUUCUGAGAUCAGAAAAUGAAGAGAUCUGGAACUAGACAUAGAUGAACGGG